AUGGCUCACUGCCCCUCAGGGGGCAGGGGGCUGGUGAUUCCUGAGGGAGCCCUGCCCCCUUCCAGGGUGAAUUUUCCUAAGUCACCAUGGAGAACCAGCAGCCCAGAAUCAGUGCCCUGCCAGGCAGAAUUGCUUGGCCAUAACAAAGAUCCAUUGCCUUUCUGAUGACACCCAGCACCUCGGAUUCUGUAUACACGGGAGGUGAUUUAAGCAUCUUACUGCCACCCUGAAAUCUGGGGUCCUUUAUCCUGGCAGGUAAGACCCUUUUGUGUUUUCCCGACACUUACUUCGGAGACCGCCCCUCUAAGCAGAGGGCCAUGUCGCCUGCU
ensembl:processed_transcript Rian RNA imprinted and accumulated in nucleus